rnacentral:rRNA from 1 species
UGCAAGUCGAACGGUGAAGCCCUUUUUUGGGUGGAUGAGUGGCGAACGGGUGAGUAACACGUGAGUAACCUGCCCCCUUCUUCUGGAUAACCUCAUGAAAGUGGGGCUAAUACGGGAUAUUCUGGUCUGGUCGCAUGGCUGGGCUGGGAAAGAUGCGCUUUUUGGGUGUUUUUGGUGGGGGAUGGGCUCGCGGCCUAUCAGCUUGUUGGUGGGGUGAUGGCCUACCAAGGCGGUGACGGGUAGCCGGCCUGAGAGGGUGGACGGCCACACUGGGACUGAGACACGGCCCAGACUCCUACGGGAGGCAGCAGUGGGGAAUAUUGCACAAUGGGCGCAAGCCUGAUGCAGCGACGCCGCGUGAGGGAUGGAGGCCUUCGGGUUGUGAACCUCUUUCGCCAGUGAAGCAGGCCUGCUCCUGUGUGGGUGGGUUGACGGUAG